rnacentral:lncRNA from 1 species
CCUGGGGCACUAACUAGGUGACCCAGAGAAAAACAGCUUCAGGUCCAAAGUGCCCUUUCCUCUUCUGUCUCAGGCACAGCCAGAAGACCAGCCUGCCGUCUACACUAUAAAUGCCGAGGUCUUACUGGUCUGGGCUUUUGGGGCUCUGAAAGCAGGAAGGGAGCACUGGGGUGUUCAGGAGAGGAUUCUGAGAAAAGAAAGGACUUGAAAUGAAGCUUCCUUGAAUGGGGGAAGGGGGAAUGCAGGGCAUUUGGAGCUGGUAGGACUUUCAGAUGAAGAUGACCCAUAUGGUGGACAGUAUCAAGGACUUGUUUGAACAAAGGGUGCACAUUGGUGCAAACGGAGAAAGCAGAGAGCACUGUCAGCAAGCAACUUCAGAGCCCUCCAGCCUCCUUGGAGGGACUCCAUCCUCCUGACUGAGGGGGAAGGAGGCUGUGGGCCUGUCUAGUCUGGUAGACUAGAUAGAUCCAUAGAGACUAACGAGAUAGGGACCCCUUUAAAAGAUAGAACAGCAAAUAAGCACAUUGGUAAGUAGUGUGAUCAUGUUAGAACCCUUGAAAAUAAUUUCAUCGUGCACAGCAAGUUAAACAUCCCUCCUACAAUGCAUUCCCAACCUUUCAGGUCAGUAGGGUGGGACAUCGGGACCUCAUUGCCUCUGUACAUGUAAACUAGCUGGGAUUCCAAUGUGACCUGAUUUAUCCCAUCUGCCUGCCCUGCACCCCGACAGAGCUGUCAUUACCACACACCUCUCCCCUUUACCUGCAUCCAGCCAAGCAGCCAAGGAAACCAAGGAGUCUUGAUGGGUAACCUCAGGCUGAUGCUGCCCACAGCCCAGGCCCUGUGCUGAUCAGAUCUGACUCCCUGCCAGGAACACUCAAGCUCACCUACCUGCCUGCAGCUCUACUCUCCCUCCUGUUCCUGUUGGGAUGUGCAGAGGUCAGGAGCCACCCACAAUGGAACAGACCCACCUUGGCAUCCUCCCCUACAGCCAUUUUAGAAAAGCCACAGAAAACCAGUGUCCAGGCCUUACCACACCUGUCCUCCACCCUCAAGAAAGCAGGACAGGGUGGGGCUCACGAUAAGGUACAGCCUGUGGAGGAACCAAGGAAAGAGGCCUGGAGGACCUGAUCUUUGUGGUGUUUCCUUGACUCUUUCUGGCCCAGUGGUGGAGCCCUCCCAGGAGAUCCCUUGAGAGUGGAGAAUUCAUCCUGAACAGAACAGUAGACUGAUUGCGGGAGGCUUCUAGAAGGAGGUAGCCAGAGCUGAGUGCACUUUGGGGAAAUGGGGAAGGGGGAGGAGGCUCACUAAUAGGUAGUGACCCAGGAGUUCAGGGAGAGUUACAGAACUAUGGAACCCCUCAUAGUCAAGGAACUGAGUACCAUCUUUCCCCAUUGCCCCCCAGAUAAUGACUGUGGGGUCACUGCUAGGAGGAGGCACAUCUGCCUCCACAACUCAGCAGGGAGUGUAAAGGGUUAAAUCCAGAAAAUCACCCAAUAAAGGCAGAUGC